rnacentral:rRNA from 1 species
UGCCUACGGGACGCAGCAGUGGGGGAUAUUGCACAAUGGGGGGAACCCUGAUGCAGCGACGCCGCGUGGGUGAAGAAGCGCCUCGGCGCGUAAAGCCCUGUCAGCAGGGAAGAAAAUGACGGUACCUGACCAAGAAGCCCCGGCUAACUACGUGCCAGCAGCCGCGGUAAUACGUAGGGGGCAAGCGUUAUCCGGAAUUACUGGGUGUAAAGGGAGCGUAGACGGCUGUGCAAGUCUGGAGUGAAAGGCGGGGGCCCAACCCCCGGACUGCUCUGGAAACUGUAUGGCUGGAGUGCAGGAGAGGG